UUUUGUUUUUCAACUCAGAAAAGUGAAUUUUCAACAGAAAGCUAUAGAAAGGCUGGAAUCUCUUCUAAUGUAUAAGAAUAUAUACUUUUUUUUUUUUUGCAGGGGAGGGGAGAAUUAAGACAGCUUCUAUAAAUUAAAAACCAAGAAGCUUUCCAACAAUCUAAGACAAGAUUCUAGAAGGAGUGGAAUAUAGAGUUCUGUAGGCUAGACUGAGGUGUCUUGCUAAAAUCUGACAAUGGCAGUCUUUUUUCAACCAUGGAGAAAAAUGCAGCCAUGGGACUAAUUUCUGCCACGGGGACAUGAACAGAAGUGACGUGUGUCAUCAUCCAGGCCUGGAUCCCUGAGUCACUGUAUGGAGGAAAACUACCCAUUGACCAAUAACAACUUCAUUGGACUAAGACAGUUCUUCUAUGAUGAGGUCUCUGUAAGACUUUUAGUUCUCAGGCAUCUAAGAGUGAAGAAAAGAACCAUAUGCUUCAUGUUUU
rnacentral:lncRNA from 1 species